UUUAUGGAGAGUUUGAUCCUGGCUCAGGAUGAACGCUGGCGGCGUGCCUAAUACAUGCAAGUCGAGCGAACAGAUAAGGAGCUUGCUCCUUUGACGUUAGCGGCGGACGGGUGAGUAACACGUGGGUAACCUACCUAUAAGACUGGAAUAACUCCGAAACCGGGGCUAAUGCCGGAUAACAUGUUGAACCGCAUGGUUCUACAGUGAAAGACGGUCUUGCUGUCACUUAUAGAUGGACCCGCGCCGUAUUAGCUAGUUGGUGGGGUAACGGCCUACCAAGGCGACGAUACGUAGCCGACCUGAGAGGGUGAUCGGCCACACUGGAACUGAGACACGGUCCAGACUCCUACGGGAGGCAGCAGUAGGGAAUCUUCCGCAAUGGGCGAAAGCCUGACGGAGCAACGCCGCGUGAGUGAUGAAGGUCUUCGGAUCGUAAAGCUCUGUUGUUAGGGAAGAACAAAUGUGUAAGUAACUGUGCACAUCUUGACGGUACCUAACCAGAAAGCCACGGCUAACUACGUGCCAGCAGCCGCGGUAAUACGUAGGUGGCAAGCGUUAUCCGGAAUUAUUGGGCGUAAAGCGCGCGUAGGCGGUUUUUUAAGUCUGAUGUGAAAGCCCACGGCUCAACCGUGGAGGGUCAUUGGAAACUGGAAAACUUGAGUGCAGAAGAAAGUGGAAUUCCAUGUAGCGGUGAAAUGCGCAGAGAUAUGGAGGAACACCAGUGGCGAAGGCGGCUUUCUGGUCUGCAACUGACGCUGAUGUGCGAAAGCGUGGGGAUCAAACAGGAUUAGAUACCGGUAGUCCACGCCGUAAACGAUGAGUGCUAAGUGUUGGGGUUUCCGCCCUUAGUGCUGCAGCUAACGCAUUAAGCACUCCGCAGUACGGUCGCAAGACUGAAACUCAAAGGAAUUGACGGGGACCACAAGCGGUGGAGCAUGUGGUUUAAUUCGAAGCAACGCGAAGAACCUUACCAAAUCUUGACAUCCUUUGACCGCUCUAGAGAUAGAGUUUUCCUCUUCGGAGGACAAAGUGACAGGUGGUGCAUGGUUGUCGUCAGCUCGUGUCGUGAGAUGUUGGGUUAAGUCCGCAACGAGCGCAACCCUUGAACUUAGUUGCCAUCAUUCAGUUGGGCACUCUAAGUUGACUGCCGGUGACAAACCGGAGGAAGGUGGGGAUGACGUCAAAUCAUCAUGCCCUUAUGAUUUGGGCUACACACGUGCUACAAUGGACAAUACAAAGGGCAGCGAAACCGCGAGGUCAAGCAAAUCCCAUAAAGUUGUUCUCAGUUCGGAUUGUAGUCUGCAACUCGACUACAUGAAGCUGGAAUCGCUAGUAAUCGUAGAUCAGCAUGCUACGGUGAAUACGUUCCCGGGUCUUGUACACCGCCCGUCACACCACGAGAGUUUGUAACACCCGAAGCCGGUGGAGUAACCAUUUUGGAGCUAGCCGUCGAAGGUGGGACAAAUGAUUGGGGUGAAGUCGUAACAAGGUAGCCGUAUCGGAAGGUGCGGCUGGAUCACCUCCUUUCU
rnacentral:rRNA from 1 species